GACGAACGCUGGCGGCGUGCCUAAUACAUGCAAGUCGAACGCUGAAGAGAGGAGCUUGCUCUUCUUGGAUGAGUUGCGCACGGGUGAGUAACGCGUAGGUAACCUGCCUUGUAGCGGGGGAUAACUAUUGGAAACGAUAGCUAAUCCCGCAUAACAAUGGAUGACCCAUGUCAUUUAUUUGAAAGGGGCCAGUGCUCCACUACAAGAUGGACCUUCGUUGUAUUAGGUAGUAGGUGAGGUAACGGCGCACCUAGGCGACGCUACGUAGCCGACCUGAGAGGGGGAUUAGCCGACCUGGGAGGGAGACAGGGCACAGAGGGCCACAGGAAGGAGCAGGAGGGAAACGGGAGGAAGGGGGGGAAACCUGAGCGAGCAACGCCGCAGGAGUGAAGAAGGAUGUCGGGUGGGAAAGGACGGUUGUAGGGCAAGAACGAGCGUGAGAGUGGAAAGUACACAGUGUGACGGUAGCUGAUCAGAAAGCACCGGCUAACUACGUG
rnacentral:rRNA from 1 species